rnacentral:rRNA from 1 species
CGGGGGACAAGUAGAGUGGCGCACGGGUGAGUAACACGUAGGUAAUCUACCUUUGGAUGGGGAAUAACAACCGGAAACGGUUGCUAAUACCGCAUAAUGCAGCGGCACCUAAUGGUGACAGUUGUUAAAGCGGGGGAUUGAAAGACCUCGCGUCUGAAGAGAAGCCCGCGGCGGAUUAGCUAGUUGGUGGGGUAAUGGCCCACCAAGGCAACGAUCCGUAGCCGGCCUGAGAGGGCGGUCGGCCACACUGACACUGACACACGGGUCAGACUCCUACGGGAGGCAGCAGUCGGGAAUUUUGGGCAAUGGGCGAAAGCCUGACCCAGCAACGCCGCGUGAAGGAUGAAGUUUCUCGGAAUGUAAACUUCACAAGAAUGGGAAGAAUAAGUGAGGGAUAAUACCCCUUACGAUGACGGUACCAUUUGUAAGCUCCGGCUAACUCCGUGCCAGCAGCCGCGGUAAUACGGGGGGAGCAAGCGUUGUUCGGAUUUACUGGGCGUAAAGGGCGCGUAGGCGGCGUGACAAGUCACUUGUGAAAUCUCCGGGCUUAACUCGGAGCGGCCAAGUGAUACUGUCGUGCUAGAGUGCGGAAGGGGCAACUGGAAUUCUCGGUGUAGCGGUGAAAUGCGUAGAUAUCGAGAGGAACACCUGCGGCGAAAGCGGGUUGCUGGGCCGACACUGACGCUG